GGACGACCAGCCACACUGGGACUGAGACACGGCCCAGACUUCUACGGGGGGCAGCAGUGGGGAAUUUUGGACAAUGGGCGCAAGCCUGAUCCAGCAAUGCCGCGUGCAGGACGAAGGCCUUCGGGUUGUAAACUGCUUUUGUACGGAACGAAACGGUCCUUUCUAAUACAAGGGGCUAAUGACGGUACCGUAAGAAUAAGCACCGGCUAACUACGUGCCAGCAGCCGCGGUAAUACGUAGGGUGCAAGCGUUAAUCGGAAUUACUGGGCGUAAAGCGUGCGCAGGCGGUUAUAUAAGACAGAUGUGAAAUCCCCGGGCUCAACCUGGGACCUGCAUUUGUGACUGUAUAGCUAGAGUACGGUAGAGGGGGAUGGAAUUCCGCGUGUAGCAGUGAAAUGCGUAGAUAUGCGGAGGAACACCGAUGGCGAAGGCAAUCCCCUGGACCUGUACUGACGCUCAUGCACGAAAGCGUGGGGAGCAAACAGGAUUAGAUACCCUGGUAGUCCACGCCCUAAACGAUGUCAACUGGUUGUUGGGUCUUCACUGACUCAGUAACGAAGCUAACGCGUGAAGUUGACCGCCUGGGGAGUACGGCCGCAAGGUCGAAACUCAAAGGAAUUGACGGGGACCCGCACAAGCGGUGGAUGAUGUGGUUUAAUUCGAUGCAACGCAAAAAACCUUACCCACCUUUGACAUGUACGGAAUCCUUUAGAGAUAGAGGAGUGCUCGAAAGAGAGCCGUAACACAGGUGCUGCAUGGCUGUCGUCAGCUCGUGUCGUGAGAUGUUGGGUUAAGUCCCGCAACGAGCGCAACCCUUGUCAUUAGUUGCUACAUUUAGGCGGGCACUCUAAUGAGACUGCCGGUGACAAACCGGAGGAAGGUGGGGAUGACGUCAAGUCCUCAUGGCCCUUAUAGGUGGGGCUACACACGUCAUACAAUGGCUGGUACAAAGGGUUGCCAACCCGCGAGGGGGAGCUAAUCCCAUAAAGCCAGUCGUAGUCCGGAUCCUAGUCUGCAACUCGACUACGUGAAGUCGGAAUCGCUAGUAAUCGUGGAUCAGAAUGUCACGGUGAAUACGUUCCCGGGUCUUGUACACACCGCCCGUCACACCAUGGGAGCGGGUUCUGCCAGAAGUAGUUAGCCUAACCGCAAGGAGGGCGAUUACCACGGCAGGGUUCGUGACUGGGGUGAAGUCGAACCAAGGUA
rnacentral:rRNA from 1 species